rnacentral:rRNA from 1 species
UACGUAGGGGGCAAGCGUUGUCCGGAAUCAUUGGGCGUAAAGAGCGUGUAGGCGGCCCGAUAAGUCCGCUGUGAAAGUCCAGGGCUCAACCCUGGGAUGCCGGUGGAUACUGUCGGGCUCGAGUCCGGAAGAGGAGUGUGGAAUUCCUGGUGUAGCGGUGAAAUGCGCAGAUAUCAGGAGGAACACCAAUGGCGAAGGCAGCACUCUGGGACGUGACUGACGCUGAGACGCGAAGGCUAGGGGAGCAAACGGG